GAGAUUCAGUAUGAGAAGUUGGCAGAUGCUGUUCGAUUUCUUGGCUGCUUCUCAGACCUAAGAAAAAUAAGCGCCAUGAAUGUCUUCCCCUCAAAUACACAGCCAUUUCAGAGACUUUUAGAGGAAGAUGUAGUCUCAAUAGAAUCAGUGUCACCCACGUUACGGCACUGCAGUAAACUUUUUAUUUAUCUUUACAAAGUAGCCACAGAUUCUUUUGACAGGCAUGCAUAUCAUUCUGUUUCAACUCCCCCUGUUUACCCUCCUAAAAAUGUUGCCGACCUGAAACUACAUGUGACAACUUCAUCUCUCCAGAGUUCUGAUGCAGUCAUCAUUCAUCCUGGAGCCAUGCUUGCCAUGCUGGACCUACUGGCCUCUGUUGGGUCAGUGACACAGCCAGAACAUGCUUUGGAUCUUCAACUUGCCGUGGCAAAUAUUUUACAAUCCCUGGUGCACACAGAAAGGAACCAGCAAGUCAUGUGUGA
rnacentral:sRNA from 1 species